rnacentral:rRNA from 1 species
UGAUCCCAUCAGAACUCCGAAGUUAAGUGU